ACCUUUUUAGUAUAAGUUGUACGGCUGCUUUCCACGUAGUAGGAUUAAGUAUUAAUCUUAAAUAAGGUA
rnacentral:tRNA from 1 species